GAUGCAAUCACAAGAUACGCCUUAGCCCUAAGGGAGGGACUUCAUUAAUUUUGACCCUAGAUAACUUUCUUAUUAUUGAAAACAGCGCGUGAAUAGGAGCCAACUGAAACUCCUUUUACUUAAUCGAAGGGAGAGAAAGAAAGCGAAGCUAAACGGUGAAACCACGCACAUUCUACCACGAAAGCUAGUGAGCGCAGGCGCGAUAUAGGUGAAAUCGCUGAUACACAAACACAACAAGAACAAAAUCAAGAAAUUGUGUUCUCUUGCCCUUGCGUUCUAAAACUACUUGCUUUGCGCCUGCGUACGAGCGACAACCAAGUGUUACCAACAGAUAAAACACCAUCUCGUAGAAUCGUUUAGGAAAUAUACUAAAAAGGUUCGAGUUUGAGUAAGAUCUAGAGAUACGGCCGUUCAAGUUCGAGUGAUUGAUGCGGGAUCAGUAAUUACUGUCAAGUGGACUGAAGCCUCGCUUAUGGUACCAUUCUUGUAACACCACGCGAGGUAAGUCUUGUACUUUCUUUACAACUAAAAGGUGCAAUGGGAGAAGGGAACAGAAGUUUUGCAGUAUUUUUACGAUCAUGAAAAUCUUAUUUACCUACAACAAUGUUUAAAAGCACAAACAAACAAAAAAACAAAUUCAGAAAUGAAUUUACGACAUGAAAAGGGAGUUUUUGUUUCUGAAUUUGACCAAAUCAUUAGGACAAAACUAUUUCCUGUUGGGCAAAACAAAAACUGAUGUAUCAAUGAGUGAAUAAUAGGCUUUCACUUUUGAAUGGUGACUUUUGCCAAACAUAUUCCUUGCUUUCAACAGAUAUUUCACUUCUUUAUACGGCGGCCCUUAGCUAAAGCCUUUGCUUUUCCGAGUAACCCCAGAUGAAAGCCGGCUGGUGGGCUAGAAUUCAAAAAGCCUUUACCAGAACGAGUACAUAUUUGUAUGUUAUUGUUUUUUUUUAUCUAUUAUUGGAAAUGGUCACGAUGCUGAAUUAAAUAAAAAGUAUAAAACUAUGUUCAAAUUGCUUCGUAAAUAAUAACAAAGGAUUGGCUGAAGAUGGCUCUUUAAAGGCGCUGCUGAAAGUAAUGACAGAAGUGAAAGCCAUCCCAACAUGGGAACACUUGAAAAUCACAUAGGCCAUGGCACGCGUCACUCGUGACACCGAACUUUAGCUUUCGUUUCCGCUCGCUGUCAAAAUAAUAAUCAUAGAUAGCUUUCUGGGUCCGCUUUUCAGUCUCACACGAAGUCAUCUUCCAACUCCCAUGAUCUGGCGCUUAGUUUCUUUCACUCGCGACUCAAAGCUGGAUCUCAGAGCAUGUAGUCCAGUGUAAACAGGGCAAACUUCGCCCAGCAUUGCCGUGAAGUCUCGCUCGGCUAACCACAAUAUAAUGGAAAUGGCCUAGUGUAAACAGCGUGUUGUUGGCGGAACUCGGCCCAGCAAAGCUUCCGCUGUUUGUAAACCAUUUGAGCCGAUGUAAACAAGCCUCGACGUAAGAAAUUACACGGUGCGGGAAAAGUUAUCCUGCUGGAUUGCUCUCCAGUAGGUUAAUUCGAAAUGACUGUUUCCGGGGUUUUGGGAUUCCUGUGGUGAGCAAAACGGCGAAGAGCGGAAUCGCACGAAAAUCAAUUAGUUGUGCUGGCAUGCGCUUGUCCUUGCGCAUGUCUCCACAGGGAGACCGCUGAGAAUUAUCAAUGUGUUACCGGUGAUGAUCCUUAUUUUUAUGGGAUUUUACUAUAUAAGGGUAGUUUUGUAGGUCCUAAUAGUGUCCUUAUUAACGGGGCUUUAUCAUAUAAGAGUAGACUUGUAGGUCCUAAUGGUGUACUUAUUAACGGGGUUCUACUGAAUAAACAGAGCUUUGUAGGUCCAAAUGGUGUCUUUAUUAUCAGAGGUCAAAGUACAUGAAGGUAUUUCACGCUAAAGCUUGGUGACUGACUCAUAGUCAAUCACGGUAUCUAAAUAUCCCCUCAUACCCAUCCCCUCCUACCUCUCCGUUUGUGCUCACGGGACAACCAUUAACAGAGCUCCAAUUUUCAGACAAGGGGAAAGAUACAGCUAAAUAGUUAAAGAGAUUGGUGAUUUUUUUCUCAGUGUUUCAUAGUCUUAUUCCAUUCUUUAACACGUUACACAAAAUAAUUCUGACAGACUAUGUACGUAGCCAAUAUUUGAGAGUUUCUUUAAUGUGCAUUCCUCUUGACUAACCGAGUCGCCUUGGAAGAGUUAUCAAGUAGCUAAUAUUUCAUAAUUUGUAUCUUGCUCAGUUCUGCCAGAUGCACUGGCAGAAUAUACAAAUAGCCAAUAUUUGAGAGUUUUUUUUUAAUGUGUAUUCCUUUUGACUUACCGAAGUUACCUCGGGAGAGCAUUUGAAUAACCAAUAUUUGAGAGUUUCUUUAAUGUGUAUUCCUUUGACUUGCCGAGUUACCUCAGGAGAGUAUUUCAAUAGCUAAUAUUUGAGAAUUUGUUAAGGGUUGACUAGAGUUGCCCCACUACAGUAUUUGUUAAUGUGAAUUGCUUUUGACUUACUGUUCUAUCACGGUGCUUAUCCCCAGAUUCUGCGGGAGGCUGAGCAACGCUUAGAGGAGCUUCACUCGAACCACCACCAUAGUAGCCCAUCAAUGCCGCACUUGGCGUGACAAUGGAGUUGAGGGACCCGUACUUCGGAGUCUGCUGCCCUUGGCUACUGUAGCCGGACUCUGACGAGGAGUCUGCAUGAGGAAGCGUGAGAUGAGAUGAGAUGAGAAGAGGGAGGCUGAAAGAGGGGUUGAGAGGGGCUAGUGGGAAGACAACAGAAAAAAUGACAGAUGAGCUAAGGGCGCGUUUUUUUAACUCAUGAUUCCGGAAUGAGAAUGAUUAAAAUAAUAAAAGCAUGCAUUCGUUUAUCCCGCAUUCCCAUUCCGGAAUGGAAUGAAGACCAUUCCACCCAUUCUGCUACCUGUAGCAGCAUAACUCAAAUGCCAUUCUAAACAUUCUCUACCAACCAUUCCAGAAUUAUAGGGAAAAAACCCGCCAAGUAGAGGCAGGAAUGGAGAUAGGGGCAACUAGAUGGGGAAACAGAAAGGAGUAAGGGAAGCGCUUAUACUACUAAAGGAGAGCCACAAUUACAGUAAUAAAGGCAAAGAAGGCCCCUUCCCCACAUACUACCCAGUGGGGGGAAAGGAGAGCUACAAUUACAGUAAUAAAGGCAAAGAAGGCCCCUUCCCCACAUACUACCCAGUGGGGGGAAAGGAGAGCCACAAUUACAGUUAUAAAGGCAAAAAAGGCCCCUUCCCCACAUACUACCCAGUGGGGGGAAAGGAGAGCCACAAUUACAGUUAUAAAGGCAAAGAAGGCCCCUUCCCCACAAUUCCCGCCCCUGCAUCUUUAACACACUUGUACUCAUGCACUUUUUCUCGUUCAAUUCCACAAUUAUUUAGUAGGUGUCUGUGGAGUUGGAAAGAACCACCCCACGUGACGGAAAGGUCAGCUCAAGUGAAAGAAAAUUGAAAAAUUAGCAGGAGCUUUUCGAGAAAAUCGCCCCCAAUCCCCACUCUCCUACAACACCAUUAAAAAUCAUGGCUACAGGCCUGUGUCUGUCAAAUGAUCUAACAAACAUACCAACAACAAAACAAACAAACAAAAAGAAGGCAAUUAGAUACAGAGGUUACAAAAAACACACUCGAAAACGAAAGCAGAAAAGAAAGCCUGUGAGAUAAUGGCAUGAGCUGAAACAAGCCAGGGUUAGGAACUCUAUUGACAUGGCUGUUCUUAUUUCAUUCUAGGAGUCAACCCCACACACCACAAUGACUAACAAGUCAACAAAUCAGGGGGUGUAACUGCGGAAGCACACAAUAGAAUUCCCAAGGGAAUUGAAGGCAGGAUGACAAACAUCCUCUUGAGAUUGCAAAUAAUUGGCCUACCUACAGUGAUGCUUAUGUAUUUUCAAGAAUUCAAUCAAGUAGGACAUAGUGUCAUAUUUGAAUGGGGAAGGUAAAGGUUUUCAUUUCAGGGUCAAGCAGAAAUUAAUCAUCACAAAUAAAUUAAAACAUGUUUUUAGAAUAUGUACUUGUUUAGAUCAAGUUUAGGCUGGAAAUAGAUGGAACUCUGCUCAAACUGGAUGGAAGGAUAUUGGUUCUCUGUUCUAUGAUGUUUUUACUUAGCCAAAAAAUGUGAAUUAUGUAACUCCGAUGUUCUGUUUUUUAGGUAUGCAUCAAAGAACAAUGGACUAGAGCAGACAAAUGUCUAUAGAGUUUGAAGACUAAAAAAAGGAUAAAUAUGUAAAAAGUUAC